rnacentral:lncRNA from 1 species
GGAAACUUCACAAAGGUUUACGUAUGGAAAGCAUGUGGGGCCAUGUCCAUCUCGGCUGUGGGGACAGGAAUUCUCAGGGAGACAGGCAAAGAUGUAAAUAACUCCUAAGCUCGCAUGCUAGGUGCUAUAGAACGUCCAAGAAGAAUACAAGUGUGAUCCUGACUGAGCUAUCAUGUCUUCGCCCAGAGGACUAACUUGGCCCUAUGACGAGCUCCAUUUGGCGAGCAAGGGAAUGAAGUCUGGAAAAAUUAGGUCAAAUCCUCAAGAUCCCAUAGCCUGACCAUGAACUCAGGUGCUCUGAUUCCAAGCACACGGCUAUUUCCAUUACUUUCAUAUGCCAUAUGCCAAGCUCUUUUCCUCACUGACCUGAAGACAUUUGAGGGUCCAGACUGUGUUUUAUGCAGCUCCUGUUUUCCCCAUGGAUCCCAGAUAUGCAGCCUGUUGCUUUAUUAAUUGAUUUGCCAAGAAGUAGCAAGAAUGUCCUCAUGAGGCAUCCUGUCCCUAAGGACCUGAAGAAAAAAACCCUAGCAAUUCUUUUGGGGCUGGAAAGAACUGCUGAGAAGUCAUGACUGUGGUUGUUUUCAGUGCCAUGACUGAGUCAUGUUCUAAAAAAAAAAGGCUUCCAGUCACUAUUUU